UGUGUGUGUGUGUGUGUAUACGACAAUAUUUUUCAAUUAAAAUUUGAACUAGUCUUUGCAUUUUUGCUGUUGGGAAUAGUUUAUAGAUCAAAGUUGAGAUAUUAAACCUGAUAUGGUUGACCAAAUGGAUGAUCUUUGGUAUUUUGUUAGUGAUAGUAACAUUGUUACAUAUCAUUAAGGAUAAAUUAUUGAUUAGAAUUGUUCUAUUAUAUGAAUUUUGGACCGUCCAAUCAACAUCGCUAUAUCA
rnacentral:lncRNA from 1 species